CAAAGACUCCCUCCAGGCCGGCGGCCGUCCCGGGAGGACGCACUUCGGGGAGCCCGGGAUGCCCAGAUUCCCAGCUUUUCUCUUACUCUGUUGUCCUUGUGACACUGGGAAGGCUGAAAUUUUUUCCUACUGUAGAGGAAAACAAAGCUUCAGUGACAUUGCUGGCUUUCUGCCUUCCCACUCAUCCUGUGUCUUUAGCCUGUGAAAUGUGGCAUCCUUACAUACACAGGGAGGUUAAAGGAUCAGAAUACAAUCCAUAGGUGAGUGAGGGGCAGCACUCAGAUCAGAACCUGAGUCCUAGACCAGUGCCUCCCAAACUUUUUUUUUUUUUUUGAGACGGAGUUUCGCUCUUGUUGCCCAGACUGGAGCACAGUGUCUUGAUCUCGGCACUGCAACCUCCGCCUCCGCGGUUCAAGUGAUUCUCCUGCCUCAGCCUCCCAAGUAGCUGGGAUUACAGGUGCACACCACCAUGCCCAGCUAGUGCCUCCCAAACUUUAGUAGGCAUAGGAGUCCCCUGGGGGGUCCUGUCCAAAUGCUGAUUUGAACAAGACCAGCAGGUCGGGGUGGGGUCGCAGAUGCUGCAUCUCUUUUAGAGACAGAGUCUUGUUAUGUUGCCCAGGAUAGGGCGCAGUGCCUAUUCACAGGUGCAAUCAUAAUGUACUACCUUGGAUUCCUGGGCUCAAGCAAUCCUCCUGCCUCAGCCUCCUGAGUAGCUGGGACUGCAGGUUUGCACCACUGCACCCAGCAAGAUGCUGCAUCCUAACAAGUUCCCAGGCGAUGCACAUGAGGCUUGUCCCGGGACCAUACUUUGAGUAGCAAGGGCCUAGAAUUCAGUCUCUACCCCUCCCCCAGAGCCCUGAGCUUGUGAGUUUCUCCUCUCGGAGCAUCAGCCCAGUUCUUCCUGACCCUCACCUCCAGAGGAGGACACAGCUACCAGGAUGAGGGAAUCCUCACGCCCCGCGGGCUCCUCUGAAUAUUGAAGUUUCUCCGUCACAGAGCCCAGAAUGUCCUGCACAGAUGCUGAAAGGCGGCUGCGUAUGGUCACAUAAGAGUGGUCAGGCAUGUAUACACGGCAGAAGACUGGACGGAAACAGGAAAAUGGCUUUCAACAGAGGGCAGAGUGGCAGCAGCUGGCACAGUCUCCUCCAGGGUGCCUCUAUUCCCCACCAGAGGCUGGCCUCUGAAGAAGGUCCUGUGAAAGGGGCUGGUUCUACCACCCAGGGAGAUGCCACUGAGGGUGCUCAAGACCCAGAGAUAUGUCCCCCUGAGCCACUCAGGACACCCUGCCCCUCCUAAUGCCCACACUCACUCUCAUCAGAGCCCCGGAAGGCCACCCGGGUCUGCAGACAGGAG
rnacentral:lncRNA from 10 species